AAAGAGGUGUCCGAAAAUCUUAUAGAGUAGGAA
rfam:Chryseobacterium sp. IHB B 10212 strain IHBB 10212, complete genome.